AUGAGGCGAACCGGGGGAACUGAAACAUCUAAGUACCCCGAGGAAAAGAAAUCAACCGAGAUUCCCCCAGUAGCGGCGAGCGAACGGGGAGGAGCCCAGAGCCUGAAUCAGCAUGUGUGUUAGUGGAAGCGUCUGGAAAGGCGCGCGAUACAGGGUGACAGCCCCGUACACAAAAGCGCAUGUGCUGUGAGCUCGAUGAGUAGGGCGGGACACGUGGUAUCCUGUCUGAAUAUGGGGGGACCAUCCUCCAAGGCUAAAUACUCCUGACUGACCGAUAGUGAACCAGUACCGUGAGGGAAAGGCGAAAAGAACCCCGGCGAGGGGAGUGAAAAAGAACCUGAAACCGUGUACGUACAAGCAGUGGGAGCACCCUUUGGGGUGUGACUGCGUACCUUUUGUAUAAUGGGUCAGCGACUUAUAUUCUGUAGCAAGGUUAACCGAAUAGGGGAGCCG
rnacentral:rRNA from 1 species